AGUGAACGCUGGCGGUAGGCCUAACACAUGCAAGUCGAACGGCAGCACAGUAAGAGCUUGCUCUUACGGGUGGCGAGUGGCGGACGGGUGAGGAAUACAUCGGAAUCUACUUUUUCGGGGGGGAUAACGUAGGGAAACUUACGCUAAUACCGCAUACGACCUACGGGUGAAAGCAGGGGAUCUUCGGACCUUGCGCGAUUGAAUGAGCCGAUGUCGGAUUAGCUAGUUGGCGGGGUAAAGGCCCACCAAGGCGACGAUCCGUAGCUGGUCUGAGAGGAUGAUCAGCCACACUGGAACUGAGACACGGUCCAGACUCCUACGGGAGGCAGCAGUGGGGAAUAUUGGACAAUGGGCGCAAGCCUGAUCCAGCCAUACCGCGUGGGUGAAGAAGGCCUUCGGGUUGUAAAGCCCUUUUGUUGGGAAAGUAAAGCAGCAGGUUAAUACCCCGCUGUUCUGACGGUACCCAAAGAAUAAGCACCGGCUAACUUCGUG
rnacentral:rRNA from 1 species